rnacentral:lncRNA from 1 species
GUGAGCACCGCACCCGGCUUAUUUUUUUUUCUUUUUUGGGACAGGGUCUCACUCUUGUCACCCAGGUCGGAGUGCAGUGGCUCAAUCACGGCUCACUACAGCCUCGACUUCCUGGGCUCAGGUGAUCCUCCCACCUCAGCCUCCCCAGUAGGUGGGAUCACAGGAGUGCGCCACCUGGCCAGGCUAAUUUUUGUACUUAUUUUUUUUAUAGAGACAGGAUUUCAUCAUAUUGCCCAGACUGGGCAGUAAAUAAAUAUAUAUUUACUGGGCAGUAAAUAUAUAUAUACACACACAUUUUUUUUUUCCUUCUGAGACGGAGUCUCAUUCUGUCACCCAAGCUGGAGUGCAGGGGCACGAUCUUGGCUCAUUGCAACCUUCACCUCCCAGGUUCAAGCGAUUCUCAUGCCUCGGCCUCCUGAGUAGCUGGGACUACAGGCGACCACCACCAUGCCCGGCUAAUUUUUUUAUUUUUAGUAGAGACAGGGUUUCGCCAUGUUGGCCAGGUUGAUCUCGAACUCCUGACUUCAGGUGAUGCACCCACCUUGGCCUCCCAAAGUGCUGGAAUUACAGACGUCAGCCACUGCACCCGGCCUGGCAGUCAGUAUUUUAAAAAGCAACUAUUGGC